UGUUCCCAGUAGAACUGUGCAGGACAGAACGACAGCCUUUGAAGCAAAGCUAUUUAAGCAUCCUUCAGUUUUGUUUUCCUUUUGAGCUGAUGCUGAUCCACCCCAACUGAAACGAUUUGUUAGAAGGGGGUCGAACUCGGUGACGUGUGUCUGAAAAUCUGAGGAGUUGCGCUAUCGGCUAAAAAUGGCAUUUCUCAAUUUGCUAAACAAUGUCAAAAUAGUCUGUGUGCCGGAGAGGAAGCCGAUUUAUUGCAAGGAAGCAAAAGACUUGGAAAGCAGCUAUGAGGCAUUUCACAAAUGGUGGAGACAAAAUAUUUCGGUUGUUGUCUGGUCUGUGUUUGGGAAUGUUUUCUGACUCUCAUGUUUGCUCAUGCACUGCCACUUUUUGGAUCUCAACACUUUGGCUUGGUUGGAGAUGGACUGUAAUCUUUCCAGUUCCCUGUGCGUAAGAGAAAUAUUUCCUUCCCAGUUCAAAUGUUCAGGUGGAUCCUCCAUCUGCAGAAUUCACUUCGAUCAAAAAAAAUAAAAGAAGUCGAGAGCUGCUGACCUGCAGGGCAUCUUUCAAGACGUGUUUGCUCAUUCGGGCUGUGUUGGAGGCUGUGGAUUGAACGGGAGGUCAGGAUUUUCCUCAGGGAAUUGAGCAGAAAGCCUGUUAAGUUGGUUUUACCAUUGGACACCCUCGGAAAGAUGCACAGCCGAAGGCGGAGGAGGCUUUGCAGUGUUUUGCUUUCCUUCUGCACUCACAGUCUGGUGCUGAGCAUCCCUCUGUUCGCAGCCGAGGAGGGCUCUGCCCCAGGGCUUCGCACCACUCGCUCCGUUUGCACGUGUAAACGCUGAGUGGGGCGGCUCCCACACCACGCAGCAGGAACAGUGGGCACAGUCCCUUUCCCAAAGGACACUGGUGGGAUAAAUCCAUUCAACAGCUGCAGAAGAGGAUCCGGAGAGCCUGUGUGGGGAUGCUCUGCUCUGUCCUGUCUGGCAUCCAGAGCCUGGGACAAGGCAAAGCCUCGUGUGGAAAGCAAAGUGCUGGAAAAAUGGAGUGGGAAAACUCUCUGGGGAGCGGCAGCAGGAAGGGGCAGCUGCAGCAGCGCACCUGAACAUAUGGCUGGCGGCCAGGAGAGAGCAAAGAGCGGCAAGGAGCCUGAUCCCAGCGGGAUGGAGCUGGGAGAGGUCUCCUCAGAGGCAGAGAAUCGCCAAGGGGAGGACAUCUCGAGCUGGAGCCGAAUAGGAGAGGAGGUGAGUAGAGCUGGGAUCUGUUCCUCCUGCGCUGGGACCUUCCCACCAGAGACCAUACCAGGGGAACACGGACCGAGCCUCCCUUUCAUCUAGGACUUUGCUGUUCUCUAGUUACUCUGUGGUUACAGGAACCGCGAGGCCAGAAGAGGGGAAGAAAAAAGCAAAGAUUAAAUUAAUGAGCAGCAGCAGAACACAUCUGAGGGAAUAUGCGAUGCGGAUGUGCCUGGACCCGAUUCCCACCUCCCAGCAACUCUGGUCAUCAUGUGCACCAGCACAGAGCACUGUGGGACCGGUGCCUGCAUGCAGGGGAAACAAAAACUUGGUGCUGGGGAGAGGAGAAGCCUAUUGGUGCCCUGAUCUCUGCAUCUCCCGGUUAUCUCUGGAAACGGGUAGCCUUUCAUUUCCAUGGAAAUCCUUUUGUCCCUGUACAGCCCUGCAACUGCACCGAGGAAAACGCCUGGUAAUUCAAGUUAAAGCCCAGCCAGGGCGAGCAGGCAGGGGCUUGCUGGAGUCUGCACCAUGUGAGCUGCGCACCAGCCAGUUCUCCAUCCUCUCCUGACCUUCCCCCUUUCCUCUUGUAUCAAAGCAUCCCCAGCGCACCUCUGUACAUGACCCACUUUUGUAUCCAGAGCAUCCACUUCUGUUUGAAAGCUCAUAAUGCUGCAGUAAUCCAGGAUGAUCAAAGAGUCCCGCAUCCACCCACAGGUACAACUAAAACAACCUGAAGCCCAGAGUGAGGUUGAUGGAAGAGAUGCUCUGGGCAGAGCACGCUACAGCACAUCCCUUUCCGAAGCACCGACAGCCCUUGAGCUCCGCUAGAGCAGAAAACAGAAACUGGGACGUGUCCCCGGGAAGCCCCAGCCUCGGCCUCACUGGGAAAUUCAAGCAGGAUGGCUGUGUGUGCCAAGUGCAGGAAACUCCUCUGUCCCUUGAAAGAAAGGAAGGAAUGAGUGAAGAAAUUUAGUGGUGGACCUUUGCAGAACAGGAGAAAUGGUCCCCAGGCUGCCUUGAAAGGAAGGAUGAGCCAUUUGCUGUUAUGGUGCUUUAUUGUGGCGACUCUGUGGUUUUGUACUGCUUGGAAAAACUCAUUUCCUGAGCCAAAUCUGUGAACUGUGGGUCUACACUUAAAGAAAUUAAACUCCUGCCUUGGCCCGUGCUCGUGGAGGAUUAAAAGCGUGAGCAGCGGCUCUUCAGUUGGCACAUCUGCGCAAUCUAUCCUUCCCCACCCUGUCGAAUGAUGAUGCAUCAAGUCCCACCGACAAAGAUCUAACAGGGGGUGUCCCCUGCCCACCCCAGAGCUCUGCUGCUUCUCACCAGGGAAAUCCUGGCUCAGGCUCUCUGCAAACACAGGCAGGAAAGCAGCAUCGGCUCCGGCUGCUUUUGCAGUCGGGGAAUGCUUUACUGCAAAUGACAGCCAGAGAACUACUUUAUUAUUUUAUUUUUAUGAUCUUUUUAAUGAAAGCUGAGGCUCUGGAGAAGGAUGGAGAAGCCUUUCGACGACCCCACCAAAUUCUCUCAUUACCCUUCAGGGAUGGGCAAACCCCCACGCUCAUAAACACUUGGCUCCCAGACAAGGCUCUACAUCAUAAACAUUGCCUCCUCGUUUGCACUAAUUGUCCUCCUUGUCACCACUCUUUGCAGAGUGACAAACGAUUUGGGUUUAAUGGAGAUCAAAUUCCCCGGUCACUCUUAAGUUAUCCCUCUUAAGCGAGGGAUGAGUCAGGAGAUGGGACAGGGCAUUUUGGGGAGCAACCUUCCAAAGAGAUGCUCCCUGUUUUCUACGUACCUGUGUCUUCCACAUCAGCGACUCCAGACCAAUAUUCCCCCGGGAUAUAUUUUCCCAGCUGAAGCCACAUUGUUGGCUAUAGUGGGAGCAACAUUUCUCCUUCCCCAUGCUGCAAGACCAAGCGAAGGCUCGAUAGAAUUAAAACGGAACGCAUUUAAAGCUGAUGCAAGUGCAGCAGGGAAGUUACCUGGGAAACUCAUGGCUGCAGGGUCAUUUUCCAGUAAUAGUUUGGUAAGGACUAAAACCGUGACCCAGUGUUACUUUAUUGAGUGGUCCAAGAGGCCAGAAGCUGGCCAGAAACAUCCCAAAAUCGAGGGUCUUGUUUACAGGAUGGAUUUCUGCCUGCUUGGCUCUUCAAACUAAAUAUUAAAGGAAAAAAAGGCAUUGAAUCCACCGGUCCUCAGCUGAAGGGAAAAGUAUCCCAGCAACCUUUUAUAUGUGAGGCAAAGAGCCCUUCUCCCCACGCCCAGGAGAGAGUGUGGCAGCAGGAUAGAGCCCCCGAUUGUCUCAAGCACUCACACAACACUUCCAGAGGAGUUUGCAGAAAAUCUUCCUUUACCAGAGGACACAAAGCAUCUUUGCCUGUUACAAACCUCAGAUCUAUAGAAAAAGAGAAGCCUAACAGAUGUGUGGCAGUGAGAGCAGGAGAAAGGAAAGAAUUGACCUUUGGCAGCAGCAAUAGCCAAGAGUUUCUUUAGAUAUCAACAAAAUAGACUUAGAAGAUUGCUGUUAAUGUGAUCUGAAAGAAAUGUUUUUCUUCCUCAAUCCCAAAUCCAUCAGUUUAAGCAAGAACUGAGGCACAGGAUGCAGCAACCGGGCUACACCAGCAUCAGUGCUCCUCAACUUGCCUUGCACCCUGCUGAGACCGAGCUCCAGCGCUGCAGGAACAGGAAUUACAGAGCAUCCCAACCACGUAAAGCAGGAGACUUCCCUGCUGCUCAUCAGCAGAGAGCCCUGAAAUGCCAGGAAAGCUGGGGAGGGGCUCUGGAUCAGGGAGUGCAGGGACAGGAUGAUGAGGGGGAUGGUUUUGAGCUGAAAGAGGGGAGAUUGAGGUGAGAUCUUAGGAAGAAAUGUUUUGCUGUGAGGGUGGAGAGGCCCUGGCCCAGGGUGCCCAGAGCAGUGGUGGCUGCCCCAUCCCUGGAGGGGUUCCAGGCCAGGUUGGAUGGGGCUUGGAGCCCCUGAUCCAGUGGGAGGUGUCCCUGCCCAUGGCAGGGGGUGGAACUGGGUGGGCUUUGAGGUCCCUUCCAACCCAACCGAAACCAUUCAGUGAUUCUGUGAUUCUAUGAACCUGGCAUCAAGACCCCCCUGACCUAAGAGCAGCGUGCUGGCCCCUGUGUUGGUCACGAUGACUGUCACAUCCGAGACUUUCUUCUCCCUCAGAAAACAAAAAAAGCACCACGCUUUACCUGGAAGGUUUGUCAGGAAGGAAAUCAAACAACCCCCUCUUCAAAAAUUAUCUCAGAGAGUUAAUGAUGUAACGAGACUGAAAGAUCCAGCUGGCUGAAAAAAAACUCUUCCAGCUGAGAUUCGCUAACAGCCUCCUGGAGCCGGGAAGUUAUUAAAAUAUCUUGCCCCAGGGAAGGGCCCCGCGCUGUGUUCCCAGCUCCCGUCACCCAGAUGAGGAUUCUGUGAUUUUCUGAGGUGGAUUCAUUGCAAUAAAAGAAUCAGAUUGUGUUUUUUUUUUUUUUUUUUAAGAAAAUACAUCCCUAACUUAGCUCCUCUGCCUGAUUUUCUUAUUCUCUGUUUUCUAGCUGCACCUGCAAUAAAAUGGAAUGGUGAUUUCCCGUGCUUAGAAAGCAUCUCUCAUGUUAGGGUGCUUAGCAGGUGGGCGCCUCCGAGCACCGUGAUGUGCAGCGUGCGGCUCCAGGAAGGUUUCAGCAGAGCAAGGAGGAAGGGGAAGGGUCCUGGGUGAGGCGUUCGGCACCCACUUAGGCAUCCCUCAGCCUCUGCGUCUGUCGGGGUUUAAGCCCGAAAUGAAGCAUUUGGAAUGUAGCCCCUACGCUGACCGCUGACAUCGCGGUGUUGGCAGGGGAGGGAAGUGGAGCGGUGAAACCGAGCCACCAAAACCUUUCAUGUAGAGCACUUAAAGCAGCAAUGCUGUGAUUAGCGGGAGCGUCCUGCUCAUGUGAGGUGAUUUUAUUAUGCUGUUUUAGCAGACGGCGUUGAGAACAUGAACAUGACCUUGUCCACACGAAGAGGACACAGCUGCGUCCCUGGAAAGGCAACCGGUGAGGGAAGGGAUCUGCCUUGCUUGCGACUUACCUGCCUUCCAAACCGUAUUAGUGCCUUAGGAAGAGAACGAAGGAAAAAAGACAUGAAAAGAUGGCAUUUGGUCACUCCAAGGACACUGGGGAUGGACGAGAAGAAAUCGGUUGAACUCAGUGGAAAUCGGAUCUGCUGGUCUGCUGUUGGAUUGCUACAGGAGGGGUGCUGGAACCAGCUGCCAGGGAAGGGUGAGGGUCUCCACGAGCCCAGGGCUGUGUCAGUGUAGGGUUGUGUGCUCCCUGAGGUCCUGUCCUGCAUGGAAGCAACCAUGGGAAUUGUCCUUUCCCACAGAGCACUCACCCAAAGUUUGGGUCGCAAGCUCUAACCUGCUAAAUAUCACAUAAACAAAGAGACAGAUGUGAUAAUUGCAGAGCAAAGGCUGCUCCUGCCUUGGGAGCAUCGCUCCUCCACUGCCAGAGCCCAGCAGCUGCACAGGGCUGGCUCUGCGUUUUCCUAGGGACCUGCUCAGAUGGCUGUGUGUGUGCUCGGUGUGGCAGCGGGACCCCAGCUAAGCCCACCGGAGAGGCACACCAGGCUGAGUGAACCAGCCGAAGGAACCUAAGGUGGUUGACACGGCUUCCUACCAAAGCGUGGGACCUUGGGAAGAGGUGGCUGCAGCACAGCUCCCUGCCUUCCCAGCAGGAUCUGGCCCUGAGGAGCCACCGCUGCAGGAGUUCUGGGCUGCCCUGCUCCAUCCUCUGGGUCCGGGCUGUGCAGAGAUGGGAGCAGUGUCCUCAGCUAUGGCUUUUCCCAAAAGCCAUGUUUUUUUCCCUAAAGCACUGCCCUCUGUUUAGUGCCGGGAGCGGAGCCCACUGUGCCUCGCUCCGUGGAUGGCAGCUGGAGCUCAUCCUCCUUAGAUGAUCCCGGGUAACCUGUUGGGCUGUAAAUCGCUUCCUGCUGAGCCCCCGUAACACACAGAUUGGAGGUAACUUUACUCCAGAGAGCCAAUUAGUACAAAUCUAGGCCUGGUAAUUACAGCGUGAUAAGAUCCCGGCUGCUGAUAUCUCUGGGCAGAUAAGGCACCAGGAAGCAAUCUCUUAAUGCAAUGGCAGUUAUUACUACAGCUUCACCUCUGUCCUGCAAAGCCCUUGGGAAGUUCAUCACCAGGCACUGCGCUGGGACCACAGCAGGAAAGGAGCUGCAGCUGCCCACGCAGAGGGUGGAUGUUGCCCCACAACAGCUCGUCCCUGCUCGAGCCUCUGCACAGAGAUGGAAAUCUGCUCCUUGGCUUGCAAAGUCCUAUCUCAGUUCUCCUGGUAGUGGGAAAACUACAGCAGGCAAGCGUUUAUCUGCUGGGGCUUUGCUCUGUGCCUGGUGGGAACUGGAGCUGCUGGGGGGAGCCCAGAGGGUUUCUGCAAGCCCACGGAGGAGGGAUGCACGCUGGUGCUAGGAGAGCUGGAAACCCCUUGGUGUUGGCUUUAUUUUAGUUGUGGGAGCUCUGGCUGAUUCCUUGGUUUACACUUCCCGCUACCAGGGGAUAAGGAGUGGUGGGUCCAGAGCAGAUUUGGUUGUGGGGAGGGGAAAAGCCCAGGAAAGAUUCCCUACCUGGAGCUAUGGACUAUGGCUGCAUACAAGGGAAAAUCAUAUUAGGAGGUCUUCGCGUCUUUGGAGCGUGCGAUGCACUUUGAUGCACUUUUCAGAACGAUAACGCGUUGCCCCAUCUGUGAAUCUCGGGGUAAUUUGCAAACCGUCCCCGAUUUGUCCUCUUACUCCCAGCCCACAGCAAUAAAAGGAGACAAUUUUUCCCAUGUUACUAAACCUGAGGCUUGCGCAUCUCGCUUAGAGAUGUGCAAAGGGACUGGAGCUUUUGUAGAUUCUGUUGGUAUAAACUGGGAUGAAUUCAGAUAAAGCCAU